rnacentral:lncRNA from 1 species
UGUUUUAAAAUCCUCGGGUGAAAUUGUUCUUGCAGGUAGCAUGGUACUUCAUUACUUAUAAAGGUAGUAAUGACAGAGGAUAUCGUUAUAUUGGUUUACAAACUAAUAAAUAUGAUCACAAGCGUAUUAGAAACAUGUU